rnacentral:rRNA from 1 species
GCAAUUCGCUGAUGAGUGCGCAAGGCGCACGUCAGUGGCGAACGAGUUAGUAACACCCUGGUACGUACCCCAGAGACGGAGAUAGUCCGCCGAAAGGCGGGGUAAUAACCGAUAGCAUCGUGCUUCACACCAUGUUCGGUGUUCGAAGUUCGAGUUGUUCGAAGUAUUUCAUCGAACAUCGAACGAGGUCGCUUGAGGCGACCGAUUGAACAAUGAACAUCGCGUGGAGCGCGAUUAAAGUCGCAAGACGCUCUGGGAUCGGCUUAGGUCUGAUCAGCUAGUUGGUAGGGUAAUGGCCUACCAAGGCUACGACCAGUAGGGGAGGUGAGAGCCUGACCCCCAACGACGGAACUGAGAUACGGUCCGUACUCCUACGGGAGGCAGCAGUCGAGAAUAUUCGACAAUGGGCGAAAGCCUGAUCGAGCGACACCGCGUGCAGGAAGAAGCUUUUCGGAGUGUAAACUGCGGUAGUUAGGGAAUAAUUUACAUGAAUGUACCUAACGGAAAGAGGUGGGUAACUACGUGCCAGCACCAGCGGUAAUACGUAGACCUCAAGCGUUAUCCGGAUUUAUUGGGCGUAAAGAGCGUGUAGGUGGUCCUUCAAGUCUUUUGUUAAAGGCCGCCGCUUAACGGCGGUUAUGCAAGAGAGACUGUUGGACUGGAGGAAAUAAGAGGCUGACGGAACACACGGUGUAGGGGUGAAAUCCGUUGAUAUCGUGUGGAACACCAAAGGCGAAGGCAGUCAGCUGGGAUUUUCCUGCCACUGAGACGCGAAAGCGUGGGGAGCAAAAAGGAUUAGAUACCCUUGUAGUCCACGCCCUAAACGAUGCCUGCUAGCUGUUUCGAGUAUCGACCCUCGGAGUGGCGAAGCUAACGCGUUAAGCAGGCCGCCUGGGAAGUACGGCCGCAAGGCUAAAACUCAAAGGAAUAGACGGGGACUCGCACAAGCGGUGGAGCAUGAGGUUUAAUUCGAAGUUGAGCGAGGAACCUUACCAGGGCUUGAAAUCCUAACGAAGACGAUGGGAAACCGUCGUCGUCUCUCAAGGACGUUAGGACAGGUGAUGCAUGGUUGUCGUCAGCUCGUGUCUUGAGAUGUUCCCUUAAGUGGGUUAACGAGCGCAACCCCUAUCCCAUGUUAUAUGUGUCAUGGGAAACUGCCCUGUUUUUCAGGGAGGAAGGCGGGGAUGACGUCAAAUCCGCAUGUCCCUCUGAUGCCCUGGGCUACACUCAUGCUACAAUGGCCGGUACAAUGGGUCGCCAAGCCGCAAGGCGGAGCCAAUCCCAUCAAAACCGGCCCCAGUUCGGAUUGAGGGCUGCAACUCGCCCUCAUGAAGCCGGAAUCGCUAGUAAUCGCGGAUCAGCCUCGCCGCGGUGAAUACGUUCUCGAGUCCUGUACUCACCGCCCGUCAAGCCAAGGGAGCCGGGAGUGGAUGAAGUUCGCUUCGGCGGAUUAGUCUAAGUUCGGUGACAUGGGCUAAGUCGUAACAAGGCACGCGUAGCGGAAGCUGUGCGUGGAUCAAUUACACA